GAUGAACGCUGGCGGCGUGCCUAAUACGUGCAAGUCGAGCGAACGGACGAGAAGCUUGCUUCUCUGAUGUUAGCGGCGGACGGGUGAGUAACACGUGGAUAACCUACCUAUAAGACUGGGAUAACUUCGGGAAACCGGAGCUAAUACCGGAUAAUAUUUUGAACCGCAUGGUUCAAAAGUGAAAGACGGUCUUGCUGUCACUUAUAGAUGGAUCCGCGCUGCAUUAGCUAGUUGGUAAGGUAACGGCUUACCAAGGCAACGAUGCAUAGCCGACCUGAGAGGGUGAUCGGCCACACUGGAACUGAGACACGGUCCAGACUCCUACGGGAGGCAGCAGUAGGGAAUCUUCCGCAGUGGGCGAAAGCCUGACGGAGCAACGCCGCGUGAGUGAUGAAGGUCUUCGGAUCGUAAAACUCUGUUAUUAGGGAAGAACAUAUGUGUAAGUAACUGUGCACAUCUUGACGGUACCUAAUCAGAAAGCCACGGCUAACUACGU
rnacentral:rRNA from 1 species